rfam:Ixodes scapularis strain Wikel colony gcontig_1107728892664, whole genome shotgun sequence.
GCAGUCGUGGCCGAGUGGUUAAGGCGAUGGACUCGAAAUCCAUUGGGGUCUCCCCGCACAGGUUCGAAUACUGUCGACGGCG